UAAUGUUGUAUAAAUAAAAUAAUUAAGUAUUAAAAGAUAUGUUCUUUAAAUUUAAAAAAAUUGGCAGUAUUUUAUCUUAUUAGGGGAAUUUGUUUAAUAAAUGAUAAUCCACGAGAAACCUUACUUUAUAAAAAAAUUUAUGUAUUUCCGUUAACAGAAAAUUUUUAAAAAAAAAUAAUUUUCUAGUUUUUUUAGAAAAAAUUAUUUCAGGUCACAAUGUAGUUUAUAAUAAAGUUAAAAUGAAUUACAAUAAAAUUUAUUUAUUAUGAAUUUUAAGUUGAAAAUAUUUAAUUGAAGGUGGACUUAAUAGUAAAAGAAUUAUAAUAAAAAAUUUUUGAAAGAAAAAAUUGUAUAAAAUUAUUGAUCUAAAAUAUGU
rnacentral:rRNA from 1 species